UACAACAGAACAGCCGGGCAAGUGGCCUGCAAGUUCCAGGGUUUGAGAGGUUUGCCCUCCAGAAAGCCGGUGAUGAUUGGCCUUCUCACAGGACGUGGUACACUGUCCCUGAGCCCGCUCUAACUUGGGAAGUCCAUCUCCACCUGUGGCUAAGAAGCAUGAGAAUAAGCCCAACCUAUGGCCUUCCCUCCUAAGCUGGUGGUGGAGCAGUUGACCAUGAUGGAUGCGGAGUGCGAGAUCCUGAAGAACUUCUCCUCGCCCCGCACUGUCAUCUCUGCUCUGCAGAAAACAUCCAUAUGCCACCUGAAGAACACAUGGGGGAAGUUUCCUGGUCAAACACCAAGGGUAGAGGUCUUCAAGAGAUCAAGUCUAAUCUACCUACAGGUGUGGCAGGCUUAACUAUGGAUGUUCAAGCCAGACAUUGCCAGAAGAACUACAUCUCUUCACCCAUAGAAAAAUGAAUGAUGUGACCAUUUGGUCCAGGACAACAGCAUUAUGUUCACCAGUCUCUGUACUGUAUGUUACUGCACAGCACGGACUGUAGGAGAAAGCCCAGGGGAGCAAUGAAGACAAAGAAGACACGACACCUGCAAAAAGUCAGUGGAGUAUUUCUACACAACAAACCUUCCAGGGCCUGUUUGUGCAGGGUGACUGCCAUCAAGCAGACAAUGGACUCAGUAUGGGGCCUGUGCCUUUGGGGAGGCUGGUAGAGAGGCACAAAGUCAAACACCAGCUAAGGGCACACACCUGAGAGGUGGAGUUCCAGGUGGAGACUCAAAAUGUACCAAGACACUGCAUGAAGGAAGCUACUCGACCUCUCUGAGCCUCAGUGUCCCCCCCCUGUAAAAUGGGAAUCACAGGCCUACUUCACAGAGCUGUUGGGGAAGAUACAUAAAAGUGCCUGUGACAGUCAGUGUCCACAUUAUUAACAAAGUCGUCUCCAACUUCAGAAUAAUCGAUGAAAAGAGUAAUGUUGAUGAGACCAAAGACGAGAUGCCCAGCUUCAUAACAGCCCCAGCAGCAUGAGAAUGAGAGGAGCUCCGAGUAAGCAGGGUUCUUCACAGCUCCACUGGAGAGGAUGAACAUGGGCUACACCAGGAUAAGCGGCUGUUGUACAGUGACUCGUGUAGUGAGGGUUCUCCGCCACCAACUUCCAUAACCAUCAGGAUAUUCUACAACUUCUGCAAGAAUAAGAAUUUUACCUUACACUGUAUUUAUCUCAUGUGGUUUAAAACAUCCAGAAAUCAUUGAUAAACUGACCCUGCCCAAACUAAAGCAUGGUGAGUUAUAAAAGAUGGUCGCUGUUAAGUGGGGAGGGAUUGCAGGUUGAACUUAAUUUUAUAAGUGGUCAAUUUAUUACAGAAUAUUGUUCUAUUAUCUAUUUCACUUCUUUUUUAAAAAAAGUGAUAUUUGCGGGCACUUAGAUAAUAAAAAUUUGAGAAGAUAAGGAACUGAUAUAUUCUGUAAGCUUGAAAUGUUUUCAAGCAUAAGAUACAAUAAGAACUAAAACUAAGAAAUGGCAGAGGAAAUAGAGAUAAGAGGAUGAAAUUGCAAAACUGAAUCUAUAAUAAUAUCUCAAUGGCUAGCGCUGUGGUGCCAAGAAGGUGGUGAAGUCAAAGAAUUCGUAAAGAUGAUAAUAGACUGCAAAGAAAAAAGACAGAAAUUUUUGUAGACAAUUUUUACAGCGAUAUUACAGAUAGAGAACAGGGAAGAGAAGUUGGAGUGAGAGACUAUCUGCUUCUUAAACUACCUCCACUGUAGAGAACAAAAAACCAAUUUGCUGAAAUCUUUAUUCCCUUCUAUGACCCUGUGGAAGAUCAAGAUUUGGCCACCCUGAAAUCUAUCUCUUUAGCUUGGUUGUUUUCUCUGAGGACAUUUGACCUCCCCCACUAACUGCCUAAAGAAUUUAAAACAAAAUAUCUGUUUCAGGAAGGAGUUAUUAUCAUGAUGGCUGUAAAUAUAAUGUACAAUAGAUGUUACAAUAGAAAAGGCACCAACAAGCCCAUCUUAUCAGAAGUUCUGUCUCUGACCAUAUUCUUUGGAUGGCCCUGCAAGGAGUUGCCAGACAGACAUUUACAUUUAUAAGGGAAAUCUCCAUUUGUAAAGGUAUCUGCCUCUCUGAAUUGGGAAGAGGGGGAAUGACCUCAUUUCUAGAAACUUAUCAAUGUAAAAGCUGAGGCCUUAAAUCUGCAUAAUAACCUCACUCUUGUUUACUGUGCUUUAGUGGUAAUCUCCUGUAACUGACUCCCCCCACCCCCAACAUCUUCCUUUGUCAUUGGCUGAACAUGAUAUUUAAGAUGAGAAUUCUGCUAUUGUGUUGAGAAACGCAGUGUCCUUGCUUUCUCCCAUGCAUACAUGUUAUUAAACUUGGUAUUAUUUUCUCCUUCUAACCUGUCUUGUUAAUUAUUUGGCCAGCCAUAAGAACCUUAAGGAAAAGGGCAGAGGGAGAUUUUCCCUCUAUCCCGACUACCCUGUCUUUACGUGCAAAAUCUCAGCCCUGAAUGAAUGUCACAUUCCUCCUUUUGCAUCCCCGGGGAACAGGGCAAAUAAGCUCAUCUGAAACCUCAGCUGCCCAGCCUGUGAAAUAAGGCUGGCCGUCCACUCUCACAGAGGAGCCAACUGGAGCCAGAAGAACCUUAAGGGAAAGGGCAGAGGGAGAUUCUCCCUCUUCCCCCCGACAGUUUUGGCGUAGUCGCCAGGAACCACACUGGCUGGCAAGUUGCCUUCUCUGGCUGGAAGACCUGCCUUCUCCCUGGACUACUGCAGAUGAUGAGAUACGGGAACGCCUGACGAAAGCCAGCAAAAGGUAAGACUUCUUACCACGUCAGCCUCCCGGAAUCUCUAUCUGCGGAGUCUGGCGGAAGGAAAUGGUGAGAAUUUUUUCUCUUUCUAAAUUUAGAUUGGCAGGAGAAAAUAUUUGGGAAACUAGUUUCUUGGGCUUUUAGUGA